GUUAUUUACAAGAGCUUAACCUGAAUUGCUGGUACAAAUGUGAAGUAUCCAAUGAGGAUGAUACACAGCUCAGUUGCCAUAUUCUUCAUGAUGGACCAGCUUUCAUUGCUUAAACCUUAAGACAGAACCAACCAGAAAGCGUCAAAACAGUAAAAGACAGUACUUAGUACCGAAUGGUCUGCUGCUUGUAAUCAAACACUGGGAAAAGAAAACUAAGUGCACAUAUUUUAAUAGUGCUGAUAAUUGCAUCAUCUCUGACCUUGAGCAAUACGCAGCUUGACUUCAAGAUCGACAGGCGUUGACACAACAGACUUGGUGAGGACAAGGACAUUCUCCAAACCAAUUACCACCACAAGAGUGGCUGAAGUAUGAAGGCCUUUGGGUUCAUGUUGGUGGAUCGUCUUCAGGAGGUCUGGAUCUGCAUCAAACAAGUCACGUCGGUUCUGCCAAUAGUUGCCAGGGGAUACCAGCAGGCAGCCGUGCUCUGGAAGGACCGCCUGCAUGCGCCGCAACCCUGGCAACAGGUCUGUUACCUGCAAGCACAGAGCCUCCAAACUUCUGAGAGGAGAGAAGUGAAGAAAACAGGAUAGAAUGAGGAGACUGAAAACGCGCCCAAGGGGAGAACGGAAAACGUCUACAGGAACCAGACUGUUGUCCCAUGGUGAAACUGCUGCCUUGACCAGAACCUGCUGGAUGUAGGCCACUGGAGGACCCCGAUACUGCAAGACAGGCGGC